rnacentral:tRNA from 1 species
GCCCCCGUGGCGCAAUCGGCUAGCGCGUUCGGCUGUUAACCGAAAGGGUGGAGGUUCAAGCCCUCCCGGGGGCG